UACGUAGGGCGCAAGCGUUAUCCGGAAUUAUUGGGCGUAAAGAGCUCGUAGGCGGUUUGUCGCGUCUGCCGUGAAAGUCCGGGGCUCAACUCCGGAUCUGCGGUGGGUACGGGCAGACUAGAGUGAUGUAGGGGAGACUGGAAUUCCUGGUGUAGCGGUGAAAUGCGCAGAUAUCAGGAGGAACACCGAUGGCGAAGGCAGGUCUCUGGGCAUUAACUGACGCUGAGGCGCGAAAGCGUGGGGAGCGAACGGG
rnacentral:rRNA from 1 species